CUUGACACUCUCUACUCUUUGUAACCGGAGCCACAUUUCCGCUCUGGGCCCCUCGCUUCCGCUGCGCGGUGAAGGGAAUUCGACAGUGUCUCCCUGUCACAAACCCGACUCCUGUAACGGGACCGCGUUGAGCAUGCUGUUGGCAAACAAGGGACGACGCGGCAAGCAGCUGUAACAUUAAAAGAUCAGACACAAGUGAACUGCAAAGCCUACACAAUCAAUCAAUGCAUUUUUGAAAUAUCACAUGUUUAUUUAACCUAUAUACUAGAUGUAUACUAUUAUGAAAAUAUAUGCAUCAAUUCGUCAACAUUCAUAGUAACAUUACAUGUUUCUUAUUAGCGUCUAACUGUGUUUGUUUUUUGUCUAAUAAAGACCAAAUAAUUUC